UUGAAAGGGAAACGAUUGAAGUCAGUCGUACCCGCGGGAUAAUCAGCCUUUCGAGUAUGAUUCUGUGGAGUGUAAGGAGUUUAACCGUCUUCAUACCUGCAUAUUCGUGCGCUUUGGGUGUACUUGUCCGUAUGGUAGGUUAACAUCAAUUUUGGUCGUUAUAAAAUGACUAGGGGAAUGUAGCUUUGAUCCCGUAUUGAAGUGUUAUAGCCUCUGGUAAAUGCAGUGACUAGGAUUGAGGAUUGCAACGGAUACCUUUCGGGGCUACUCGUCUGAUCUCUGGAAGUUACUUUGGUGCUAAAAGCUUGCUUAUGGUUAUCGAAGUUGACGGUCAAUAGGUUAGAACGAGUUAAAUUCGUUAAGGAUGUUGACGUA
rnacentral:rRNA from 1 species